AGUGAGUAUGGUAAGUGUCUUCAAAUGGACACCAUUGGUGUUUGAGGACAAUUUUUUAGUUUUUCUUUAGUUGUCUGCAAUGAUCAAUGGGUAUAGAGCCUAUCACACAGUAGAUGUUUAAGAAAUGUCAGAAUUACUAUUUUUUUUAAUUUUAGGAUGCAAGUUUUUAGAUUCAUUAUAGUUCCUUCCAUAUAGUGUAAUGUCUGUGAUUAUAAUCCAUGCCUAUCUAAUAUGUAUCUCCAUAUCUUACCAGGGAAGUAGUUAGUUUUUCCUAAAUAGGAGCCAGUCAAAACUGUUUGCUGUGUCUUGGGUCUUGUUUUAGUGAAGCUAGGUACCUUGGCAUAAAGUUUACCUUUCAGUCAUUUUUGGUUAAAAAAAAAAAGGAAAAGGUUAAAAAAAUUCUGUUUGAUUUUACAGGGGUAAGAAGAUCUCUUUCUUAGUGAGAUGAUGAAGGCCCAAUAGGAGAGCAAUAUUUGAAAUCCAUUUCCAAGGAUAUGUUUGUUCUGUAUGUGAAUGUUGAUUUACAGCUUCAGGUGUUAAUGCAGCAAGUCCAUCUCCGCCAAAAGUGAGUAGGCUGUAUAGGCUGUAUAGGACAGCUACAGUAUACUUCAUUCAACUUCUCAAAUGAUAGAUGAAGAGACCUCAAGGGACUUUUUCCUUAUACUAAAAGGCAUGUGGCAUUUUGGCCCUGGUAUCCUCUGGUGACAGGAAUGUAGACUGAAAGAAACAGUUCCACUAGUUUGUUCUGCAUUCCGUUUCACCUCAGUUUGUCUCUGGAAUCCAUGUUGCUAACAUCAUGUAUUUGUUGUUGUUGUUGUUGUUGUUUAUAAUUUAUUGUCAAGUUAGCUAACAUACAGUGUAUACAGUGUAGUCUUGGCUUCAGGAGUAGAUUCUUGUGAUUCAUCACUUGCAUACAACACCCAGUGCUCAUUCUAACAAGUGCCCUCCUCAAUGCCCAUUACCCAUUUUCCCCAGCCUCCCAAGCCCCCAUCCUCAUCAACCCUCAGUUUGUCCUCUGUGUUUAAGAGUCUCUUAUGGUUUGCUUUUUGCCUAUAAUUUAGGAAGCUCUAAUGUGGAAUUGAAAUGGUUAGUAGAAGACUUGACUGGGUUAAUUUUCUUUGGUGAGCAAGAUUAAUCUUAAAAAGUAGACGAGGCAGCCAAGACUCAAGAAAAAGCCACUUAGAUCAACCAGAUGUUUGAUUUUGAAUUAUUUUUGGUAGAUUUACAUCUGGUGACGAUAAUACAAUGAGCUAGAGGGAUUAGAUAUUUGUACAUCUGAAUUCAUUGGGCUAUCUGUUCCCAUGUUACAUAAAAUGUAUUUGUACUAUUUACAGAAUUUUUCCCCCUUUUUAAAUUUUUAUUUUAAUUCCAGUUAACAUAUAGGAUAAUAUUAGAUUCUGGUAUACAAUGUUGUGAUACAGCAUUUCCAUACAUCACUAAGGUCUCACAAAUGCAGUCCUGAAUUCUCCUCACCUGUUUAACCUAUACUCCUUCCCGCCUCCCCUGUGCUGUGAUAGCAGAAAUAAAGUUAAAAAGUACAGUUUUUGAUAUUAGUAAUUUUAUUGUCUAUUAGGAAACCUAUAUCAGGAAAAGCAGUGUCUGCUCUAUUCUUUCCAUGAUAUAAUUUUGAUUAUAUUACCAUACCAAUUUCGUUUGUUGUAUCCAAGAUCUUAGAGCUCCUUCAGAAUCAUCAGUGCCGUGUAGACUUUUUACUGGAGUCUGUGUUUCAUCAGUUUGAUCUGUCUUAAUUUUAUUUGACCAUUUACAUUGAUUCUUACUUGACUCGAAAAUUUUGAGUUAAUAUUUUGAGACUCAAUGUGGUCUAGGUCCUUAAAAUAUUUGAAUAUUUCAUUUUUCAGUUUGGAUGAUAUGCUUGUAGAAGUGGAUCAUAAGCUAUUUAGUUCUAAGACAGCAAAGAUCGUGAUAUAAUUCUGGCACAUUCUUGGGGUUUUAUUGUCUUUAGUUUUUCUCCAUAUUUUCACCUUAAUUCUGUGUCAGUUGAAUUAUAUUGCUAUUAUUUAACUUACAUUGUUACAUAAAGAUGAUCAUCAUUCUCCUAAGCUAAAAGAUAAUUGCAUUAUUAGAGAUGUACUGUCUGAAGGUAUUAAUCCUUUUACAGAGUUGUAGUAGUUGUUGGGAAAGACCUUGACUGGAUUUAUGAUGAGUUAUGUUUACUGAGUAUGAUGAAGUGAAACUCAGUGUGAGUACUCUGAAGUCCAGCCUAAGUGUCAACCCAAAUACUUAGGACAUAAAUAUUCUGAAAAUAAGUUCUUGCACUGUAAAUUUUGCAAGAUAUUUUGAGCAAUAUUGUGCAUAUUAGGAAGAAUGGAACUGUAAGUUUUUCCAGUGAACUAAAGAGAGGUGGAUUCUAAAUUCCACUACUGCAGUUUUCUUUUGUAGAGUUAUCUUCUGUGUUUGUAGCAUUUGUAUAUCUCACCUUCGUCUUUUUCAUUAUGAGUUUCAAGUGAUGAAUUUAAGAGAGUAAAAACUUGGUAGCUACUAUGCUUUUUUCUUUAUAUUACAUACUACUAUAAUCAUUUAGUUCCAACCUCAUACCUGUUUCCUGAGAGCAUGUCCCUAAGCUAUGAGGCAGCUCCAAGUACAAUAUGAAUAAGAAAUUGCUAGUUUGUUGUUGAGAUACCGAUUUGGUCUAAAAUAAGACUUGUGUUUUCAGCAGAAUGCUAAAGAUACAUUGAGAUGAAUUACUUUAUUUUUGUGUGUGUGCACACUUUAUUUUCUUAAUUUAUUUUUUAAUUUACAUCCAAGUUAGCAUAUAGUGCAACAAUGAUUUCAGGAGUAGAUUAUUUAAUGCCCCUUACCCAUUUAACCUAUCCCUCCUCUCAGAAUCCCUCCAGCAACCCUCUGUUUGUUCUUUAAGAGUCUCUUAUGUUUUGUCCCCUUCCCUGUAUUUAUAUAAUUUUUGCUUCCCUUCCCAUCUGUUUUGUAUCUUAAAUUCAUCAUAUGAGUGAAGUCAUGUGACAAUUGUCUUUCUCUAAUUUUGCUUAGCGUGAUACCCUCUAGUUCCAUCCACGUAGUUGCAAAUGGCAAGAUUUCAUUCUUUUUGAUUGCCGAGUAAUACUCCAUUGUGUGUAUAUGUGUGUAUACACACACACACACACACACACACACACACACACAUCUUUAUCCAUUCAUCUGUUGAUGGACAUUUGGGCUCUUUCCAUACUUGGCUGUUGUUAGUGGCACUGCUAUAAACAUUGGGGUGUAUGUGACCCUUCGAAACAGCACACCUGUAUCCCUUGGAUAAACAUCUAUAGUGCAGUUGCUGUGUUGUAGGGUAGUUCUAUUUUUAAUUUUUUGAGGCACCUUCAUACUGUUUUCCAGAGUGGCUGCACCAAUUUGCAUUCCCACCAGCAGUGCAAAAGAGAUCCUCCUUUUCCCCAUCCUCGCCAACAUCUGUUGUUGCCUGAGCUGUUGAAGUUAGCCAUUUUGACAGGUGUAAGGUGGUAUCUCAUCGUGGUUUUGAUUUGUAUUUCCCUGAUGAUGAGUGAUGUGGAGCAUUUUUUCAUGUGUCGGUUGGCCAUCUGGAUGUCUUCUUUGGAGAAGUGUCUAUUCAUGUCUUUUGCCCAUUUCUUCACUGGAUUAUUUGUUUUUUGGGUGUUGAGUUUCAUAAGUUCUUUAUAGAUUUUGGAUACUAAUCCUCUAUCUAAUAUGUCAUUUGCAAAUAUCUUGUCCUAUUCCAUCGGUUGCUUUCAGUUUUGCUAAUUGUUUCCAGAUGGAUUACUUUAGUUGUCUUAAUAAAUUAAUGACCUUUCUGUAUCUUGGCAAGACAUAGAUGGGGAUUUAGAAGUUUUGACUCUUUGUGAUUUAAGGGGAUGAAAUUGACAUUUUGCAGUUGUUGAUACUGAGCCCUAGAGAUGAUAUGCUAAUAAGUACCAUGCAUUUUUUUUACCUGAAUUUUUGAAUCAGGUCUUUAAUCUUACAUUUUUCUUUAAUAUUUAUCUUGUAUAAGUAAUGGACUUUUUGUUACCAUGAUUGUUAUCGUGAUUGGUAUUCCAUGAUUAGGUCCUUGUGACUUGCUGAUAGUAGUUAUUAUAAGGGAGUUGAGUAGUAAUUAAACAGGUAAUUUAGGAAAAACCUUUAUAAAGAUGUACCAUUGAUAGUUGAAUAUAUCAAGAUAUUAUCCUUAGUCACUUAAUUUGUUAAGGUGUGUGUGUGUGUGUGUGUGUGUGUGUGUGUGUAUGUAUGUGCGUGUGUGUGUGUGGUCUGUGUGUAUAGAUAAUGUGGGUGUUGAUACUGUGAGAAGUGAUAGUUAAUAGUGAAAAGCUGUUGGGGUUCAGAAAAAUUACAAUUUUCUUUAAGAAGAAUGGUGAACAAGUCUUUUCUAAGGUCUUUCCUUUAUCAAGUCCCUGUUUCCCUGCCAUAAAUUUUAGUAUGUUUAUAAACCUCAUACUUGUUUGACUUAAUGUUCCUGAUCCUGUCCAGUAGGGAUAUGCUGGAUGGAUUGAGAGAAAUGAGUUACCCUUUCUAGUAACUGAAUUUGAUUAAAAGCAUACAUUUGAAUGAGGAAGGAAGGGAAUACUCAUUGGAGUCUGUUGAAGAGUAGUGUUGACUAAAGGUCAUUUGAUUUUGGAUGUUUGGUACAACCUAUGGUAGUCAGUUAUUACUGGGAGAAAGCAAGCAGUGGUAGUUGCUGGCUCAGCCCUUUCCAAAUAGUCCCAUUCUCGUGGUGCUGUUUCUUUAUAGGUGAUUGAAAGAAAAUCCCCUAUAAUUGGAAUCCCUAGAAGAUGAUCAGGAUUUAUUUUUGUUUUGGAGGGGGUAAGUUGGCUUUAUGGUCAGACUCCUUGUUUCUUGAAUCUGAUGAUAGUGUUCAUUCCUACAAAGGGAUUCUGAGGUUAAGUCUAGCUGAUUUAUGUAUGGUUGGAGCACUUUGGUGAGAUUAAUAGAAGGAAUGAAUUAGCAAUAGAUGGUGAGAGCAUUGGUGGAAGAAAGGAAGAUAAGAAGGAAAAAUACAUGGUUUCAGUGAUUGUAACAUGUCCGUAGUGUUGUAUAAGUGUGAAGGAUACCUGUAAAUGGAAAACAGUGUUUGGAUUCUUUCAGUUGCUGGCAAGAGGAAAGCUGCCCUCUUUGAAUAUUGGACCAGUGGGGGUUGGUUAGGAAUCAGAAUUACUAACAUUUACCUGCUACUUUGUCAUUAAUAGCAGUGUAUGAGUUUCAGCCAGCUUUGCCAUGUUAGAUUCUCUGUGUCUUUUCUUGAGAUGAAUAGGCAGUAUUGUGUCUUAUGUUGAAAUUACUGUGAUUAGCAAGAUGUGCUGAUCAAAUAUGGUCAUUAUGCAGUUAUUGGAAUAGGUAGAGUUGUAUAUUUCUAGACGGUCUAGAUUAAAUCAGACUUUCUCCAACUUCAGUACACAUGAGAAUCACCUGGAGGGCCUGUACAGUUUGUGUAAGAGUUUCUGGUUCAGCGUAGGUCAAGGUCUGAGAAGUUGACAUAUGCUGAUAAGAAACAACUGAGUUUUAUUCAGACAACAAAUUGCCAGUAUACAUUUAAAUUAUGUACUUAAUUUGAGGAAGUAAAUUUCUUUUUGAUAAUGAAUCAAGUACAAAAAUAUUCACCAAGUUCACAUUGGAUAAAAAUGACCAAUAAACAAAAAUUUACAGAGAGCCAUUAAUGUUUAAAAAAACAUUUUAAAAGUAGAUGUGAUCUCUGAAUAGUGUGUUGAUUUUCUGGACCUCAUAACUUCUGCCUAAUACUUUUACUUUUGUGGGAAGAUUUAUCUGGUUUAUGUUCUGUUGGUCACAGAACUGCAUAACUUGAAUUAUUUGCAUUAUAGGCAUAUGUUUGUGUUUGUGUGUUUAGACUUUAUUUUUAAGUAAUCUCUACACAGCAAAGAACUCAACCUUACAACCCUGAAAUCAAGAGUUGCACACUCUACCAACUGAGCGAGCUAGGCGCCCUAGUUUGGUUUUAUUUUAAGCAUCCACUUCUGUAUCAUUUUAAGUAGGCCAGAAACUGCCACUACCUGUGAACUUCUGGGUGUUGAGUUUGGGGUUGAGUCUGUUUUCUGGGGAAAUUUCAGUAAAUAUAUUAUAGCUUAUCUGUGAAUACUUUGGCAGCUGUAUUUGGUUAUUGAUACCUGCUUUUUAUAAUGGGGCUUAUUUAUGGGAAUAGUGUUAAUAACGGACUGUCUGUGUUUACUUAUAAACAUCGAAAAGUAGCCAGGGAUUUCUCCAAGCUUGAAAAUGCUGAAGAAUAUAGAUAUAGGUCAAAUCAGAGUCAUUCCCCCAUGAUAUAGCAAAUAAAGAACUGAGAAUUGGAAUGAGAGGACUUUUUUUCCUGUGGCUUGGAGUGAAGAAGAAAUUACAUAAGAUAUUUUAAAAUUGUGACAUGAUUUCUGAAAAUAAGUUAUUGCAGUGAAAUUGGUUUUCUUAUUUUUGAAUAAGAAUAUUUGGGGAGUUUUUCUUAAUUACAUCUUGUAUAAGGUAUAACCUUCUCUAGUGAGAUUGGAAAAUGGUUUUGUAUUUGAAAUAGAUGGAGUGUUUUUUUCAACUGAGUGAAUGAUGGCCCUAUGUGAUGGCAAAGUAAUAGAAAUAUUUCAUCCCUCAAAGAUUGCUGAAGUCACGGGGAAGAAACAAUGCAUAAAAACCCCGGUUUAACUAAUAAUAUUUUUCUUUGUCUAAGAUUAUAUAUAGCAUGAUUCAUAAACAUGGUUAUAAGAAGGCAUAGUGGACUUAAGUUUCUCAUAUUCUUCCCUUAUAGGGAGAGCAAAGCAUAUUAAUGCUUCACUAGAAAGUCUUGGUGUCCUUACUGUUGUUUCUCCCAAGACCUGGCAUAAUAAUUGGCAUAUGGUAGAAGUUUGGAUAGUUAGUAAUUUUUGUUAUAUUGGUAUAUUGUUAUCAUAGUUAUUUGUUGAAUUAAUGCAUAAAUGAACAAAAGACACGAAAUUUUCCUUUUAUUGUAUAGGCAAAGUGUGGCUUCAGUUUAAAGCUCAAAUUUCUCAUGUUUUAUAAUGGUUUGAGUCACAAAACACUGGCAUUUUUUGUACUACUUUGCUGAGGGUACAAAAUUAUUUAUUUUUUUAUUAAUUUCUUUUAAUGUUUAUUUAUUUUUGAGAGAGACAGAGACAGAACGUGAGUGGGUUAGGGGCAGAGAGAGAGGGAGACACAGAAUCUGAAGCAGGCUCCAGGCUCUGAGCUGUCAGCACAGAGCCCAACGGGGGACUCGAACUCAUGAGCUGUGAGAUCAUGACCUGAGCCAAAGUCGGGCACUCAACCGACUGAGCCACCCAGGUGCCCCCACAAAAUUAUCUUAAACUCAACUUGAUUUUCUGUUAAUUAGAGAGUGCCAAAUUUUUUGGGGGGGCAUGGAGGAAAGAAAAAAUGUAUUCCUUAAGGUUGUCUACUUUUUUAUUGGAUACUUAGACCUGUUUCAGUAUAGCGCACAGGAGAAUAAAUCUUCUAUGUUUAAAUUUUUCAAAAAGGACAUUUUCAGUUGAACUUACAUUUGUGCAAAUUUCUUAGAAAUCAAGAGAACAUUGUUGAGGAGUAUAUGACCGUUUACUUGUCAGUAUAUAACAGAGUACUUGGCCAGAUAAAAAUGUGAAAAUGUAUCAUUAUUUUGGUUGGCAAAAUAUAUUGGCUAUUUAUUCUCUUGGUUUUAGUAAUGUACACAAACAUCUUCUACAACCCUGUAAAAGAAAAGACUUGGAACACUUGUAUUCAAAAUGACAAAACAUGUACAGAUAAUUCAAAGAAGAAAAUACUGGCAAGUAAGCAUGUGAAAUGUCUCCGAAUCAUUCAUAAACACCCUUUAAAAAUCAUUGUAUGAUCAUUUGAAUCAAUUUUACAUAGAUGUAAAAAGGUGAUGCCAACUAGGUGAGAAAGUGGGUGUCAUUCGUGGACAUAAAUGGAACCCAAGAAACAUGGACAAGGAUUUCAUCCAGAAACUUAGAAAAUUUAUUGGACAAUAGACAACUGUUCAAGCUCCAUUAGAUAGCAGUUCUGAAGCUACCUUUCUAGAUGACUUUUGUUGUUGUAAUUGUCGUAUUUUAACUGUAUUAAAGCUUCUAACUGAUCCCCUUACUUCUAGCUUCAGAUUCUCUGUUUCAUCUGUCUGCCAGAGCAGUAUUUGGGAAAGAUAUGAUAAACCAAGUCACAUUUCUUCAAAAAUCUGCAUUUGGCAUGUUUUUAAGAGUAUUAGAAAUAAGCAAUAAUCAGAGAAGAGGACAAAGAUUAUAUAAACUGAUAACAGAGGAUCUUUUGCCACUGUCAAAACUGGAAAUUUGCCACUUUUAGUCACUGAACAUUUGGAUUCCUAAAUUUUGUGCCCUAAGACUCCCCUGAUAUGAAUCGUACGAAAUUUGUGCAGCAAGAAACAAUGAGAUUAUAAUCCAAGAUGAUUUAGGAUACUGUGCAAACGUUUUUGCCACUGACGUGAACAGGAGAGUAUAUCCUGAGAGCCUCUGCAUUGAUCAGAUUGUAGUUUUCAAAUUUUUCUGGAGUAUCCUGAGCAAUUAUACUUAUGGACUGCUAUGAAGCCUAAACAUCAGGCUGAUUCAAGGGAUCUUUGACCAGGACCUUCCUGUAGAGACACUCCCUAGAUCUUGUAUUCUAUAUUUAUUUCAUGGUCCAACAUGAUUAGCACAGCAUCUCUAAUUCCAAAUUAGUCCCCAGAAUGCAAAUGUAUGAAGUUAUCUACUGAAUUGAAAUAAUUUCAAGUGAAUGGCACUUGUAGUAUUGGUUUAGAAUGGACAAUCUCAAGUAAAUAUAAGACAGCAUUCUAGGAAUAUAUGGAAUGAAAGGGAAGGACAACACAUCCCAACUUGAGCUAGAAGCUUCACCAACUACAAAAUCACAGAGAAAAUAGAGAUAUAUACUGUCCUGAAAUUCAUCUUGCUUUUCAAAAAUUUUAUUUCAUUGGCAAUCUUUGGAUUUGGUAAAAAUCUCAGUAUUUUUUUCUACGAAUUACCAAUUUACCAUAAAAAUAUUUAAUAGUAAGAGCCUUGUAUACGUGACUUUAAUACAUACAUGAUAAACACAAAUAUUUUUUUUUCACCUCACACACCAUUUUAGGAAUAUAAACUUAUUAACUAAUUACUGGACAUAUAGAGCUUAAGAAUAAAUGCUUAAGAAAAUUGUGAUUGGGUAAUGGUAUUGAAAUCAAUAUAAAAUACUCAGUGAAGGAUGAAUAUGUAUGAACUGUUCAUUGGAUGUUAGUGAAAAGAAUGAAAUUCAACAUGUAAUAGUUUAUUGUAUUUUAUUCUUUCUUUGCUUAAUCUUUCUUGUACUCUGAUGCUCAAGCACAGAGACUACAGUUAUAAACAAAUCUAUUGUUUUUAAAAAUGGUUGCUGUGAUAAUAGAGCUGGUUUCCUAGGUGAGUUUUUAAAAACAUGUUUGGUAAAACUACCUUCUGGAAAAGAUUUUAGAAAGGAAUGAGGCCAUUUUGUAAAGAUACACACAAUGCUAUAUUCAUUGUUUGAAUGUUUAUGGAUAAGGGGAGAGGAAAUGGACAUGAGGAAUGUUUAAUAUAUUAAUCAGGAAAAAAGUAAGGCACUAGUUAUUAAUGUUUAUUUUGAGAAUAUACUGUAUGAAAUAACUAAAUAUAAUUGCAUUGUGACUUUAAGGUAUUGUGAUUGUUAAGUUUGCUAACAUUUAGAAGAAAUUUUUAAUACAUGAUUAUAAAAAUAGAACUGUUAGAACCUUUGAAUGAUACACAUUUAGAAUCAUUUGAUUGAAUGAUUUUUGAGUGGCUUUUGGUGCGGGGCAAGGAUUGUUCUGUUGUAUGCAGCUGUUUUAUUAAGGCUGUUCUGUGUGGUUGUAGAUGUUAUUCUGUAAAUAUUUGUUAAUAUCUUUAUGGUAUGUUAAUGUUUCUGUGGUAUGAGAUUUAAUUCCCAUGAUGGAAUUACUGCAUAAGAGUCCAGCUUCUAUGCAUGUUUAGGAUUUGAUGGGCUUUUUUAUUGCUAUGUAUGUAAUGGAAAAAGUACUGUGUUAAACCAUCCUAUUAAUCAUGGAGAUGACUGAUAUUUGGGGCAUUUUAAAUGUUAGAAUAUAAUUUUGGUUGUCAAGAGGAGUUUUUAGACUGCCUUAUUUGUAGUAGGCAAAUAAAAGCAGAAUUUAGAAGGUAGAGAACAGGGAAUUUUGGAGGGCUAUACGUAUAUGCAUAUGUGCAGAAACAGUUCUUGAACAGCCUAGAGGCUUUACUCGAUGCUCAGAAGUUGGGAAUCAACAUAUAUUUUAUUAAUCCUGUGAUGUUAAAUAGGUGUAGUUUGUUGUUGUUUUUUUCCAAUAGAAUUGUUAAAUUGCCUCAACAUUAAUUCCUUUUCAGUAAGAUUAUACUUUUUUUUAAAGUGUUAUAUACAAUGUAAUGUUCUUUGCCAUCUAAUUCUCUACCUACAUAGACAUCACUGUAAAUACAUAUCAACUUAUAUGGAUAGACAUUUUUGUUUGACAAAAAUGAUAUUAUAUCUUGCCUCUGUGUUCAUUGGAUUAUUAGGCUCAAAUUGUAGGGUGGAAUAAAUGUGCAGUGUCUAGUAUAAUAUCUCACAUUGUUUUUUAUAGAAGAUUCAUCAUAGUGGAAAUGUCAUUUUAACUGUGGGUCUGCCUUUGUUUAUGGUUUUUAGAUAUGUUUGUAUGCAAAUAGGAAAUACAAUUACUAGAAAAAUCUCUACAUGUGGUUAAACAUAAUAGGUUAGAAAAGUUUUCAUUUGCCAGUGUAAUUUGACUUUUAAUAAUUGAAUUGUUCUUGCUUUAAAAUACUACAUAAAAUAGUAUAGGUGAUUUACAAGUUUGUAUUAGAGAUGUUUGUAAUGGUCUGUCAAAUCUAUGUUCUUAAAAGGAUGGGCUGAUCAAAGAAAAGUUUUAUAUAAUGUGUAUAAUUAGACACAGUUAUUAUGUUUUCUUAAAGCCGAGGAAUAAUUAUAUCAGCAUGUUUUGUAAAUAUGUAGAAUGAAAAAUUUGCAUAACAGCUGUCAGAUUAUGUCUGAGUAAAUAAUUGAGCAGCUGAGGUUCAGGAUAUUUUGUUAGAGUGUUCUGUGUGUAAAACAGGAUAAAAUAAUUUUUACUUUAAACUUUUAAUCCUUAAUUUUACAGGGGUUGCAUUCAUAUACAUAUGUAUAUAUACACCCACAGGUGUAUUGUAUAUGUAUAUAUAAGACAACUGUUUAUUAAAAAUUAUACAAUAGGAACACCUUUUGGCCAAAUAAUUAUCACUCGGCUUUAAUCUGUUCUUUGUGUUGUUUGAUGGUGGAUAAUACAGGGUGUUGUUCAUGAGCCGUAGUUGCUGGAGGAUACUGUUAAAUGGCUAGUUAAGUUAUAGACCGGCGUUAGUUUUUGUUUUAGAAUAUUUGCAUAGGAUUUGCUGAUAGGUGCGUAUAUUUUCUGGAUAUCAAUUUGAGAGACAAUGUGAAAAAACACUUCACUUUGACAAAUUGACUUACUACACCAUGUCUAUUUGGGAUGUAUUUGGUGAUAGGGAUUAUAUUAUUUUGUUUUGCGUAUAGGAGGUAAGUGUCAUUUUAUGUCAUUUUUAGAUAUAUAAUUUCUGUCAGUAAUUUUGUAAAUAUAUUUUUAUUGAAAUAUUAAAGGUAGAAUCAUUGAUUAUAGAUAUAGUAGAGCAUCUUCAAGUAUUAGGUUUUAUUUUGAUGUUUUUUCUUUCUGUAUUCUUUAUUUCAGUUCUUUAUUUAAGUUUAUUUAAAUUCCAGUUAACAUACAGUGUAAUAUUAGUUUCAAGUGCACAAUUUAGGAUUCAGCUAUUCCAUACAACACCCAGUGCUCAUCACACAUGCAUUCCUUUAAUUCCCAUCACCUAUUUAACUCCUCCCCCACCUACCUCCCCUCUGGUAACCCUCAGCUUGUUCUAUAUUGUUAGGAGUCUGUUUCUUGGUUUGCCUCUCUCUCUGUGGCUUUGAGAUUUUUUAGUUAGACAUUCAUUGUUAAAGUACAGAAAUUAUUGCCAUUCAUAUUUUAAAUAUGAAAUGAGUAAUUUCUUAUACUAAACUUUUUGUAUGCUUGUAGACAUGAAAUAGUAAAAUAAGUCUCUGCUGUUAUGAUUUAUAGACUGCUGUGUAUGUAGUUAUUGAUAAAAUACUUAUUUCUAGAUAUACAGACAUUGCUGAUAAACAUGUUUAAAUAUCAAACUUAUAAAAAUCAAUAUAAUUAGUUUCUCUGCAUGUUCAGUGGUUUGUUGUAAGAGAAUGGAUGGGGUGGUGGAUGUUUUCCAUUCUCAUCAGUAAUGUAAGAUUCUUUGGCUUUGAAUCUAUUUUUGGUUUAUAGAGAUAGUGAACAUCAUGUAUGUUACAGUCAUGCUGUUGGUAAACUCUAGGUUUGACAUAUCUCCGAAUUAUUUUAAGAAUUUCUUAUGGAUGGCACUUUGUGGUUUGUUGUUAAACACUGGUAUUUAUAAUAGUUAUAGCAUUUGACUUAGGAAGUAUAUAGAAAUGUUGGUAAACAAAAUGAUAGAAGGUAGAAACCGUUUUCUUUUGAGGACGUUGUUCACCUUUGUGUAGGAUUCCAUGGAAUGCUGGGAUUAUUAAAGACAAUUUAUUUGAAAAUUGGGUUAAAAGCUUCUGAGCCUUAUUUUUGUUAUGUUUGUGUGUGCACACACAUGUAUAUAGUCAGGAAAGAGGGUGGUUGAAAGUUCAUUGCCUCACAUAUUUCAUUUAGAAGAAAAAUUAGACUUCAAUAGUUAAAUUGUGCCCAUUUUAUAUAAAAAUAUUUCUACUUAUUAAGGGACAUGAGAUAUAUCUUAUUUUCUCAGAUGUACUGAGGUUCUUGAUGAAAUUCAUUUUACUAAAGAAAAUUUUACAGAAUCUAAAUUACACAGUUCUGUGUUCAUUUGUUACACAGCAGUAAGACAACUUUGGAAAUAAUAGGCAAGUGAAACAUUUGGUUUUAAACAUCUAAUAUUUCCAGAUGUAUUCAUAGUGUUACAGUAUAAUUUUAUAAACAUUUUCAUUGUAAAUGUGUUAGGACUAUUGUCUUUUAAAGUUGUCAUGGCAAGGAAAUUGAUCACUGAUAAAUAGGGUCUUGGAGCUAUGCAAUCUUUAUCAUACACUCAUUUUGUUGUUGAGAGAAAUAGAAAAGAUUAUGCAUUUAACCCAUUCUCAUAGUAGAAUAGUAUGCCAUUGUAUAAGUAUAAACUGUAUAUUAAAAAACAUACACCAUGUAAAUUCAUUUGAUGUUACAAGGUGUAUUGUAAUGUAUUUCAUUUGGAGCUUCCCUAGUAUAUGUACCUUACAUUAUUCUUGUGUUAAGAUAUUUUUUAGAGCAGAUCUAGAUCGGUUCAUAGCAAAAUUGAGGGGAACGUACAGAGAUUUGCCAUCUAGCUCCUGCCCCAGCACAUGCGCAAUCUCCAUCAUUAUUCACACAGCACAUGCAUAAUCAGUCCCAUUAUCAUCAUACCUUACCAGAGUUACUUACCAUUUAUUCCUGCUGAUGAAUUUACAUCAAUACCUCAUAAUUACCCAAAGUCCAUAGUUUUUCAUGGUUAACUCUUGGUAUUGUACAUUUUGUCGGUUUGGACAAAUGUAUUAUGACAUGUAUCCAUCAUGGUAUUAUGCAGAAUGUUUUCAUUGUCCUAAAAAUCCUCUGUGCUUCACCUAUUCAUAUCUUCCCCGUAUUUAUUUUUAUUGUUAACAUUGGAGAUAUAAAUGACUUUGUUAAAGGGAUUUUAUACUACCUCUUGGAACUAUACACAAUUCUGUAUGUGUUCCUUUGGUUGCAUGACAAUAUUCAAGACAACUUUGUAAAUAAUAGAUACAAGUUUUUAGUUUUUAACAUCUAGUCUUUUCUAGAUGUGUAGAGUCUCACAACGUAUAAUUUUGUAAAUAAUUCAUUGUAAACUUUCAUAGUUUCAUUGUUAUCAAGUGCUUUAAUAGCAGUGCAGUUGAUAACAAUUUUCUUGAUAACAAGUUUCUUCAGCUAUUGCCUAUUUUGGUAUCGGAAGGAGAAAGUUACUAAAAGUGUACUGUUGCUCUUGCAUUCUCUAAAAGAAAAUUUUACAUUUUAAUCACUGUUUAGUCCUUGUAUUAUUAUACGUUAAAAAACCUAAGUCCUAAUUUUAUAUUGUAUUGCUAUACAACUAUUAAACUUAUAGUUGUAUUGCUGAUUAUGUAUUUUAAUCAUAGCAAGUCUGUUUUAUGAGAAAUAUUGUCCCUCUUUGAGCUCUUCAGUUUUGUAUUUAUCUGAACAGGAUGAAAAUAUUCAAGACAACUUUGUAAAUAACAAAUACAUCAUUUAAAAAUACCUAGUGUUUUCAGAUGCUUGGUAUUUCACAAAGUAUAAAUUUGUAAAUAUUUCAUUAUUGUAAAAUACCGUAAGUUGUCUUUUGUAAGUGUUGGCAGUGUAAUAAGUAAUUAACAUUGUUCUCUUAGGGUUAUAUAACAUUUUGGUGUUAAGUGGGUUUUUUGGGGAGAGGGAUAGAUCUAUUGCCUUCCUUUUCUUCAGAUUGUUAGGUAUUUAUGUAUAAGAAAAUAAUAGAUUUUAUACUUAAACAAAAUAUCCCAGGAUGAUUUUUACCUUUAGAAAGAGGAAAGAAUACAUGAGAAGGAAACUGUCUUUUUUAAAUCACAGAUAUAUUUGUAGAAGAUAUUCUUAUUGUUAAUUGUUACUUUGCUAUGCUAUAUAAAUCUACUUUUUGUAAAUAUAUAUGUGUAUACAUGCAUAUAACAUACAUGUUAUAAAUGUUAAUAUAUAUGUGCACAUGUACAUUUAGUUUUAGGAGUAUAAAUAUGAUAGUACUCUCUCAUUAGCUUAUUGCUUUGCAUUUUUUUUUUUUUUUUGGAAUACUAUGGAAGUAUUCAAAUCUAAACUUAAAUAGUUCCAUAAUCCUGCUUCAUGUUAUAUCUAAAUGUAUGUAUUUAAAAAUAUUUUUUAAUGUUUAUUUUUGAGAGAGAGAGCAUGAGGGAGGGACGGGCGGAGAGAGAGGGACACACAGAUCUGAAGCAGGCUCCAGGCUCUGAGCUGUCAUCAGCACAGAGCCCAACUCGGGGCUCGAACCCAUGAACUGUGAGAUCAUGACCUGAGCCGAAGUCAGACGCUCAACUGACUGAGCCACUCAGGUGCCCCUAAGUGUGUUAUUUUUAAUGUAAAAUGAUUAACUCCAUAUGUGUUUGUUUUCUAAUCUGUUACCAUAUAUAGACAUCUGAAUGAAAAUAAAACUUCUGUGCUUAUGAAUAUUUAUUUUAUUCUAAGACCUUUUUAAAAAUUUCCAGUGUUUGCUUAUAUUUGUAUGUUAUGUGAUAAUCAGAAACAAAAGUCAAAAAUGUUCAACUCAGUAGCCAAUAAUAAAUUAUGAACAUUUUUUGGAAGAAAAUUAACCUAUAAAUUAAGGUAUAAAUCAGUAUUUUUUUUGAACAGAAGUUUGGCCAUAAUAAUUGAAAUUCAAACAUUUGAAAUGGUGUUACUUGCUGCUGGGAAUUUAUUCCACAUCUCAAAUUUACACUGAAGUAUGUUAUACAUUGAGUAUAAAUAAUAGUCGAGCAUCUGAAAUAUACCUCAACAAAAGAUCAUAAUGGUUGUAGCUUAUUCAUCAUAUGAAUAUAAUUUAGACACUGGAACAUGGUCUGAUAAGGGUGUUUUGUGUGGAUAUUUAAAAUUAUGCCAGUUUUUGAACAAACAUCAACUAAUAGUGUGUUUACAGAGGUUUGACCAUAUGCCUCGUUCUAAUUGGAAAUGUCAAUCAUUACUGUUCCUGAGGAAUGUAAUUAUUCUGACAUGAUUAUAGAGUUAAGUAAUGCUGACUGAUCAGUGUUAUAAUGAAUAUUUUAGCAUUCUUAAAAAUUUUGUACAUGUGUACAUUAAGUAGUAAAAUACUGUCUUAUUAUUUGUAUAUUGCUACUUGACAAUCUGAAAUGAACAUACUAAUUGUUAGAAAGGUGUCUGGAAGAAUGGAUGGCAAAAUUUUAACAUUACUGUAUAGAGAGAUGGGAAUGGAGGACUGCUUCUACUUCCUGCAUUUUGAAUUUUAAAGGUAUUUCAAAAGGAACAUCUAAACAGCAAAAAGGGGAUUUUAAAGAUACACCCAAUUUAUGCCUGCCUUUCAUCCUUGCCUAUCAAUAUCUGGCGAGUAUUGGGCUGUUGUAUCCAAUUUUGUAUUCCCAGUGGCCAUUAUGAAUUGUUUGUGAGUGAUCAUGAAGAGCAUGUGGUUUAGAGACUCUAGUGAAGCAGAGAGUUUUACACACUGAAAAAGCAUUGUGGGACUCCAGAAAUGAACAUGGGAGAAGAUAGGAUUUCAGGUAGGUGCUAAACAAUUAUAUUUGGGUUUACAAACGCAUGAAUGAUUAAAAUAAAUCAUUGAAACUUUCUAUAAAGGGUAAAUUUUCAUAAAUUUACAUAUUUGUGGUUACUGAUUAGAUCAUGUUGUUUGAGGAAGAGUAUUGGAUUAGGUUGAAAGUUAAUUAAUGGUAGUAAUUAGAGAAUGGAUUUUUCCUAGUUUUUACAGUAGUUGAGUCAGAAUUUCACGUAGGUCUUUAUGGUUUCUUAUAUGAUUCAGAACUGGCAUGAAAAACAUUUCCGUACAUUUGUGUUAUUUCUGUGUAGUAAUAUCAGCUGUUUAUCUCCAUUCGCUGUUCGUGAUUAUUCUAAAAUCAUCCUAAUUUGUGUGUCCUGGUGUCUUAUUUGUAUCUAAUUGGCUAUAUUGUAUAAUUACUUCUCAGAUGAACACAAUGAAAGGAAGAGAUUUACAGAUAAUCUGAGGACAGCUGACAUUCCUAUGGUCUUUCUUAAUUCAUAAGUCUUAACUGGGAACUACAGGUAAGAAGGUUCUGGAUCAAGAAGUUCUGUUUUAGAACAAGGCUUUGGCUAGACUCAGGAAUAUCCAGCCAUGCCUGAGAAUUAGUGAGUAAAUUUAUUCUAUAAAAAAAGAUAACUUUACCAAAGUAAAGGUGGGGAGUAUAUGUAGAAUGUAAGAGAUUAUUUAUGUCUUCUUUCAAUUGCUUUUAUUUCUAACCAAACAUUAUGAUCUAAUUAAUGUUAUAAAGAAAAUUAUUCAUUAAUUGGAAAUUUUGAAAUAAAGGAUUUUUUGCAAGUAUUUUUAUAGUGUGAUAAAGGCAGAAGUUCAUGGAAACUGGUAAAAAACAAACAAACAAACAAGGGGAACCCUCUUGCACUGUUGGUGGGAUUACAAACUGGUGCAGCCACUGUGGAAGACAGUAUGAAAGUUCCUCAAAAAGUUAAAAACGUGAUUUAGCAAUUGUAAUCAUGAGGUAUUUACCCAAAGAAUACAAAAAUAUUAAAUCAGAAGGAUCUGUACACCCCAUCCUUUAUUGCAGCAUUAUCUACAAAUAGCCAAAUUAUGGAAACACCCCAAGUAUCCAUUCACUGAUGAACAGAUAAGGAACUCCGCCAUAAAAAAUGAGAUCUUCCCACUUGCAGCGAACAAGGCCGAUGGAGCUAGAGAGUAUAAUGCUAAGCAAAAUAAGUCAGAGAAAAACAAAUGAUAUAUGAUUUCACUCAUAUGUGGGAUUUAAGAAACAAAACAAAAUAGAGGCAAAGCAAGAAAUAGACUCUUAGCUAUAGAGAACAAAUUUAUGAUUACCAGAGGCCAGGUGGUUGAGGGAGAUGGGUGAAAUAGGUGAUGGGGAUUAACAAGUACACAUGUAAUGAGAAACAGGUGAUGUAUGUAAGUGUAGCAUCACUAAAUGGCACACCUAAAACUAAUAUUUCACUAACUGGAAUUUUAAUAAAAAGUUAAAGUAUUUGGUAAAGUAAUAGCUGAAGUUGGAAUGUUGAAUCAGCUAUAGGGGAUUCAUUAAUGAGGAAUUCUUUCUAAGCAUUAAAAGAAAUUUGUAACAAAGUUCAAAAUUAGCCUCCACUUAUUUGCUGCUUUUUCUAUUUUAUAAGAAGUAUGUGUGUCUUAUCUUCCAAUGUUUCUUCUUUUUUUCCUGUCAGGAGAUGAUAAUUCUAAGAAAACACACUUUUGCCAUCUUUGUUUGUAAUUGCAAGAAUCAGUACCAUAAGACCUCUGUUGGCAAUAUUACUCAUUUGAGUAUUCGAGUAUUCGUCACCUCCCAUCUCUGGCUUUGGGAAUACUGCUUGGCAAAAUGAUUGUAAGGACAGAUAAGUGUUUAUUUUAUUCAGGGAGGGGCACUUGAUUAGACAGGAGUUAAUAUUCUGCUUUGUUUAAGAUUAAUUAAUUUUUGGUGGCAGCUAGUGGGUAAUGAGAUCCGUUUGGGGUACAUGUUGCUGAGUAAUAAAGAAUCCUGACACACAGUGGCAUAAAAUAUCUAUUGUGCCAUUUCAUGAAUUCUGUGGGUGAAGAUUUCUGACAAUGCCAGAAUAUGGGAUCAGCUGGG
rnacentral:lncRNA from 1 species